GAUGAACGCUGGCGGCGUGCCUAAUACAUGCAAGUCGAGCGAAUGGAUUAAGAGCUUGCUCUUAUGAAGUUAGCGGCGGACGGGUGAGUAACACGUGGGUAACCUGCCCAUAAGACUGGGAUAACUCCGGGAAACCGGGGCUAAUACCGGAUAACAUUUUGAACCGCAUGGUUCGAAAUUGAAAGGCGGCUUCGGCUGUCACUUAUGGAUGGACCCGCGUCGCAUUAGCUAGUUGGUGAGGUAACGGCUCACCAAGGCAACGAUGCGUAGCCGACCGUAGAGGGUGAUCGGCCACACUGGGACUGGGCCACGGCCCAGACUCCUACGGGAGGCAGCAGUAGGGAAUCUUCCGCAAUGGACGAAAGUCUGACGUAGCAACGCCGCGUGAGUGAUGAAGGCUUUCGGGUCGUAAAACUCCGUUGUUAGGGAAGAACAAGUGCUAGUUGAAUAAGCUGGCACCUUGACGGUACCUAACCAGAAAGCCACGGCUAACUACGUGCCAGCCGCCGCGGUAA
rnacentral:rRNA from 1 species